rnacentral:lncRNA from 1 species
CCCUUACAGCUUUUCUUAGAUGCCUCAGGCUGGACAGAAGGGAUUCCUGGCCUGCUGGGUACCUGUCCUUUUAGAAUCUUACCAUCAUCCUGAGGAUUCCAUUUGCUUCUGUUGCAUUGGAUCCUCUAUUUCUUGGAUUCCUUAUUGUUCUCCUUGAUUUACUCCAUCGAUUUGGCAGGACAUAUCCUGUAGUGGUUUCCCGAGAAAGAGCGUGUUAUAGAUUGUCUCCUUUGGUUCUUAAGCCUUGAGACUCAGACUGAAUCACACCACCGGCUUUUCUGGGUCUGCAGCUUGCAGAUAGCAGACUGUGGGACUUCUCAGUCUAUAAUCAUGAAGAUGUUAAGCAAUUUAUUUGAUGUCCUUCAAAAACUAUCUUUAUAAUGAAACAAGAGAAACCAUGAUUAACUAUCAAAUUCAACUUGCUGCACAGCAUAACAAAACUACAGUGGAAUAAAGAAUACGGAGAAUUUUGAGUCAUGCAUCAACUGGGACUUUGGAACACAUCCCCUAGGAUCAGAAGACUUCCGUAUCUGUGUGUAUUCUUGUUGAGUGACAGAAAAAAAGAGUUGUUUCAUAUGCAUUAACUUGGAAGCAUAGAAGACACCCUAAAAGAUAAUGUUGUUUUGAGCUGGCAUAGUCUGCAGGAAUCAGUGUUCUUUUUGGGCUAUAUUUUUGUGAUACAUUUAACUCAUGCUAAGCACCAUAAAAUUUUAUGGCCCAGAGACUGACAGCCAAUUCCUCUUGGGAAUGUAUCCAUCCACCCUCUAUGGCUGAUUCUUUCUGAUCUCUAAGCCUGCUCUGAGGCACUCACUCAGGAAA